rnacentral:rRNA from 1 species
UACGAAGGGGGCUAGCGUUGUUCGGAGUUACUGGGCGUAAAGGGCGCGUAGGCGGCGCACCAAGUCAGGCGUGAAAGCCCUGGGCUCAACCCGGGAAUUGCGCUUGAGACUGGUGUGCUUGAGUACGGGAGAGGAUAGUGGAAUUCCCAGUGUAGAGGUGAAAUUCGUAGAUAUUGGGAAGAACGCCGGUGGCGAAGGCGGCUAUCUGGACCGUAACUGACGCUGAGGCGCGAAGGCUAGGGGAGCGAACGGG